rnacentral:rRNA from 1 species
GGCAAGUCUGGUGCCAGCAGCCGCGGUAAUUCCAGCUCCAAUAGCGUAUAUUAAACUUGUUGCAGUUAAAAAGCUCGUAGUUGAAUUUCUGCGUUAUCGAGUUAUUGACUCUUGUCUUUAAUCGAUUUCGCUUUUGGGAUUUAUCCCUUUUUACUUUGAGAAAAUUAGAGUGUUUCAAGCAGACUUUUGUCUUGAAUACUUCAGCAUGGAAUAAUAGAGUAGGACUUUGGUUCUAUUUUGUUGGUUUUUGAACCUUAGUAAUGGUUAAUAGGAACGGUUGGGGGCAUUCGUAUUUAACUGUCAGAGGUGAAAUUCUUAGAUUUGUUAAAGACGAACUACUGCGAAAGCAUUUGCCAAGGACGUUUCCAUUAAUCAAGAACGAAAGUUAGGGGAUCGAAGACGAUCAGAUACCG